GCAAGACUGUUUUGGGGGUGAAAUUAACAGGCAAGUUGGUGAGCUUUGGUGAAGCAAACAACCUUACAUGAUGUGAGUGGUCCUUGUGCCCAGUUGAAGCCGUGAGUAAAACAAAGUCUGACAUAGCCUUGAGCAAGAAAGAACUCUACCUCCAGACAACUUCGGGGGCAGAUGCACUGUGCACUGGAGAGGCAGAGCAUCCUGCCUUCCACAGCCGUGCACACCAGUCCCUGUGCACAAGUGGCCACCCACCCAGCGAAUCGACGUGGUGUGCUUAUCAAAAUCUGUGUGUCUGUGGGCCAGAGCCAAAUCCAGAGCCCCAUCCUGAAUGCCCAGCGGUGCCCACAGCCAGGAGGAGCAUUCGAUGUGUGAUGACUCAUCUCGUGCAUCAGACGCUCUCUAAAGUUCCCACAGAUUAUACCAUGGCUUAGUGAGUGCGAUUCUAAGACAGUUCCAAAAGACUUUUCAAUCCGUGGGAGUUUCAAAGUGGAUUCUCAGACAAACAUGGGGAGGACUGAGGCAGGCUUGGACACGCACAGAAUCAGACAACGAUGGUCCGGAGUUCAAAUCCCUGCAACCACAUGGUGGCUCACAACCAACUGUAAUGAGAUCUGGCGCCCUCUUCUGGAGUGUCUGAAGACAGAUACAGUGUACUUACAUAUAGUAAAUAAAUAAAUCUUAAAAAAAAAAAAAA
rnacentral:lncRNA from 1 species